GACGAACGCUGGCGGCGUGCUUAACACAUGCAAGUCGAACGGAAAGGCCUGUCCUUCCUUGUGUUGGACGGGUACUCGAGUGGCGAACGGGUGAGUAACACGUGAGUGAUCUGCCCCCAACUUGGGUAUAAGCCUGGGAAACUGGGUCUAAUUCCCGAUAGAACUGCAGGGUGGUGCCUGUGGUGGAAAACGAUUUUCUAGUGGUUGGGGAUGAGCUCGCGGCCUAUCAGCUUGUUGGUGGGGUAAUGGCCUACCAAGGCGGCGACGGGUAGCCGGCCUGGGAGGGGGGACGGCCACAUUGGGACUGAGAUACGGCCCAGACUCCUACGGGAGGCAGCAGUGGGGAAUAUUGCACAAUGGGCGGAAGCCUGAUGCAGCGACGCCGCGUCGGGGAUGACGGCCUUCGGGUUGUAAACUCCUUUCGACCGCGAGGAAGCCGCCUGGUUGGAAGGGUGGUGACGGUAGUGGUAGAAGAAGCACCGGCUAACUACGUG
rnacentral:rRNA from 1 species